CGCCCACUUUGGGCGCCUGUCACGUGACUGGAAGCUACCUUGGGGCUUUAUUGUGAGGGCUGGGCAAUUGCAGAGCGGUCGCUUUGCCAUGGCCUGUUUCCGACAGAAACGACGCGGUGACGCAGGCUCAGUAGUAGUAGCAAGGCGUUACCGUGGAUCUUGUCCUUAUGGCGGUUUUUAGGGACUUGCUCCACGCCACUCCACUCACAUCUGUGCACAUUUCCGUAGCCUGACAUGCGGAAGCCCUCUUGGUUCUGUUCAUGGCCCAUAUCGCUGCAUUCAUCGUUUAAUACUAGUUGAAAAAUUAUCAGUUUCCCCCAUUAAGUACUAUGAAACUGCGAGCAGAGUUUAACAGGCUGCUUUCACUAAGUUUGGGGUCUGGCAUCACGUACAGUCAACCAAAUAAUGUUGGGAGUAUUUACCUAUAUAGAAAAUAUGGAAGUGUAUAUAAGUAUGGGGAAAGUCAACAUCGUGCUACAAUUUACAGCUAGCAAAUAGUAUAAUUUGGUAACUCGUAUAGCCACCAAUAUUUAAAGUUCCUACACCAAAGCAGGACAGUUGCUGUCAUAAAGAGGUUUCCUUUUAACAUUCCAUUUAUGCCUUGGAGGGAGAGUUAGGGGUUCAAAUACUCCACAAUGCAACAUUUUGUUGCAGGUCCCACUUUCCCCCCUCCUGAUAAAGACACACAAACACCAAGUAAAAAUAUUAUAAGCAAAUGUGUCAGGGGCAUUCUAGCAGUAAAUCACAUUAUGCCAGUUAGAGUUAUGUAAUUCUUUAUUAGCAAAAACAUCUGCACAGACUAAACAGAGUGUCAGGCCUAGUGAGCAUAGCAACUUGAUCUCCAGUAGGUCCUGCCUCCAUGAAGCAGUCAGUGAGGGGAGCUGUUACUGUCGAGUAGGCAGGCAGGAACUUCCAGUAGUAGUUUGCAAACUCCAAGAACCUCUGCAAAUCCUUCUUAGUCUUUGGUGCCUGCCAAGACGCCACACUGCUGACCUAAGGAAGAUCAAUCUCCAUCCCUUUGGGGGUCAAGCGAAAUCCCAGGAAGUCCAUCAUCAUGACACAAUGCAUACUCCUAACCCUGGAAGGAAUUUUAUGGCAUAUUUGACAUACUCAGCGUCUCUGAAAAGAGGUAGUGUGAAGAUAGACAUUGGUAGCAGCUUGCUUCCUAGGGCUACUGUUACUCUUGGCACUGGCUGUGGAAGAGCCACACUUCCUUCACUCACUUUGUACAGGGCAUCCACACAAAGUCUUGAACUAAACAUCUUCUCUAAUUUUACCCUUUCCUCUCGAGUCCAGUUUCUCUUCCAUUUUUGUCAGAGCUGAGAAAUCUGACCUUUUCUUCCUCUGCAACUCAAUGGAAUAGCUUCAGAGUUUCCCCAGAUGUAGAUGGUCUCUUCUGUUAUUGUUCCAGACAAGUGAAGCUAGUCACUUUCUUUUCUUUUUUUUUAAGGAAAUAAAUUUUAUUUAAGAUUCGACAAUAACAAUAAAUCAACAAUAACUAAUACAGUACAUCAAUUCAUUGCAGUUGACCAUCUUUAACAAGAGUUAACAAACUACAAAACAUCACUUCUGGUUAGUCAACUUUUCAUAUUUAACUUUAUCUUUUUCUUAGCUGAUCAGAAAAAAGGAGACUAAAAGAAGAAAGUGAGAAGAGAGAAAAAUGUAAAAGAGGAAGAAAGGAAGAAAAAGAAAAAGGGGGGAGC
rnacentral:lncRNA from 1 species